rnacentral:lncRNA from 1 species
AUCAAAGCAUGCGCACGUCAUAAAUUUCGUAAAAAGCAUAAUAAAUAAAAUGGAAAUAAUAACAUUUUUAUUACACUGCAAUGAAGGACGAAGAACGAGCCAGUGAAGCGCGUGGCCAAAAAGGAGGCAACAGGAAGCAGGCAGAGGCAGCCACCAGAAAGCACCUUCUAAUACUUUCGAAUGGCAAAAGUUUUUUGGGCAGAAACACCGCGUCUCGGCUUUCCGUUCCAUCCGUCGACUGUUUGUUGGCUUUUAAUGAUGCCAUCAUAAAUUAUUACAUUGCUAUUUCGUUUUUAUUGUUUCACCCGCGAUUGAGCAGCUGGAGAGAAUCCUGCCAAUGCCGGAGCAAAACUCUUGAGCGGUGAGAAACAAACCAGGCUAAACGCAAUUAUUAUUACUUUUAAAGCAUUUUUUAUGCUCCUUUAUUUUGGCAGCCACACGAUUUUGCUAUUAACAAACGAGGAACGAGACUCUGUCCCUCUCUUUGUAUAACAAUCUUUUGGCCAGAAAAAGAAAGCAAAACUUCACUUCAGAGUUUAUUAUGAUUUUUAUGGAUAUAAAAAUAUAGGCCGUACAGAACACACACCCACACCCAUUUGCUUUUCCCUAAGAUGUCCUGCGCACGUGCAAUGGCUCCAAUGGUUUCCACCUGGAGUCCUGGAGUCGCCACCACCUGUGAGAUUUGCUGCCUCAGCAUUUUCCACGAAAAACUCUCCACUCAUUUCGGCCGACCAUAUUGACGACGCGACGCGGUGAGCGGCUGCGGAAAUUGUUAAAACUGUAAUUGCUAAACGAAUUUUAAUGAGCUCAUUAAUUUGAUAAAGGGAUUUACACGGUGUUGCGGUUGGGUGUGUCAGGGGGAGCACGGCCAGCAGCUAGCGGCCAAACAGCCAGCAGUCCUGGCUCUGGUCCUGCGCUGCUGACGAUGUCCUCAUUCUGUGUUCUGUUCUCUGACCAAAUGUUGCCAUGCGGUUAACUUCAGUUUCUGUCUCUCCCUCCCACUCUCUAUCUCUCUAUGUUUGCCUCCCCGCUGAGGGCAUUGCUGUUGGCAUUAAUUAAAAUUUGCUUCAAAUUAUAUUCCAGAGUUUUUCUACCACCCCCCACAGCUGCUGGGCAAAC